rnacentral:lncRNA from 1 species
CGCAACAGACCCUGUUCCAAGUGACAAUCACUCAAAGGGAACAUGUCCUGGACUUGAGAGUCUACACUGCAGCCCCUUCAGAAAGGGUAUUUGGUGUUGGUCACUUCGGAGACAGAAGUUGGUACCAUCGACUGAGUCAUUCACAGCAGAAGAAAAACCAGAAAUCAGCAAAAGCAUAUCACUUGUGCCUCCUGGUUAGUCAUUCUCCCAGCCAAGGGCAGAUAAGAAUUGGGUCACUGGCCCAGGAGCAAGACAAUAAGAACUAGAAAG